GGGAAGCAGAGGAAUUGGACAAAAGAAUUUGGGUUUUGCAGAAGAGGCCCCUAACUCCUCCCACUCCUCUCUCUCUCGGUUGGAGCUCUCAACCGAAAAAGAAAAAACAACUCUCCCUCUGAAUUCUCUCGACUGGCUCAAUGGAUCAAAAAAAAAAGGCGAAGCAAAGAAGAAAAAUUGCUCCAGAGGUCCCUGGCUCCUCUCGGUCUCCACUCUCUCAACUCUCUCAAUUCUCUCGGCUGGUUCAACGGGCAAAGGAGAAGAAAAAUUGCUCCAGAGGUCCUCGAGAGCUCUCAACAGACAGAAAGAAAAGAAAAGCAAGAGGGAAGAAGAAAAUUUUGCAGAGAGGCCCUCACUCUCUCAACUCUCUCGACUUCCGGGCGGCAGGAGUAGAAAGGGAAGAAAAAAAAUAUCUCUUGGCUCUCCCUCUCAUUUUUUUUUAGCAAAUAAAACACUCACUCUCAGGUUUUCUCUUGGACAGGGCAAGGCCAAUAAAAACGGUUGAAAGCUCAUAAUUUCAUCAAAUUUUAGUCAAGAGACUAAAAUCUUCAUUGAGGUCUGUGGACUUAGAGCAAAAAGAAGAUCAAAAAAGGUGAAAAGUGUUGAGAAAGAUGUCGGACGCACAAAAGGAGAGUAUCGGACGUCCAACAUCCAUUGAGUAACUUCGGACGUAUGAAGAACUCAGACUCGGACGUCCGAAGAAGACAAGCCAGGGCUUCUACGAUUAUUGAUCACGAUCGGACGCUCAACACUUGAGUAUCGGACGUCCGACAAGCGUUGCUGCACUUCGGACACAACACAUUGGAUGCAUCGGCCGUCCGAAGGAAUUGAAAAGGAACCUCCAAAUCUGCAUCUUACCCUCGGACGCAUGGUGAUAGGGGAUCGGACGUCCUAAGAGGUUCAAGAAGAUUUCUCUAAUUCAUUGACCUCGUUCGGACGCAUAAAAACUGAAUAUCGGCCGUCCGACAGCACCAAUGGCUAGUUGACUCUUCAGUUGCCUUCUAUCCGUUAACAGCAUUAAUUGAAGAAUUUCUUGGUCUCCUAUAAAAGAAAAAAAGUCAACCACCUCAGAGCAACUUUGCACAUCCAGUCUACAUCAAAUAGUGAGUGAUUCAAGUGAUUGAAUACUCAAAAAGGGAUUAUUUGUAUUCUCAGCUUGUGCAAUUUCCUUGUAGCUUUUCAAGUGUGACAUAGCUUCUUCAAUAGUGUAGCUUUGUGAGGGUUAUCAGAGUGUUUGUAAAACUUCCUUGCUUGACCAAGUGUGGUUUGGGGCAAGAAGAAAGUGAUCCUUCCAUUGUACACAGAAAUUGGUUGCAAGUUUGUUCAACUUGAAGUAGCUUAUUAUAUAAAGUAUUGUUCAAACUCAAGUUGAGUUUGAAACCUGGUUUGUCUCUUUA